AGCGUCUCACUGCCUCUGGACUGCUGCCCCACAUCAUUCUACUGAGGAUCGGACUACCUUUCCAUUUGAAAUCCAUAAUGACGAAUGUCAAUGACCAAAGGAACCCCAGUUCCAGACCUGUUGAAAGAGCACCAGUGGCCUUUGGUAGGGGUGGUGGUAGAAGGGGUCCACACUGACGCAGAGCGGGGCUGCCCUGGGGGCUUGGUUCUGGGAGACUAAGCCACUGAGCCUUCCCUCCCUUGGUAAAUGAAGGCCUGGAGGGCAAUGCGGCCAGCGGGUCACCUGGCCAGGGAAGGAGCGGGACAGGGGAGCAGUGGUGAUUAAUGCCCUGUGUUUAGGGUGCCGUCAUCGGGAGGGAGACGGACGAGGGCUCAGCAUGAUGGAUGAGGGCUGGACCAGGGGCUGAUAAGACAUGGCCCAUGAAUCUGUUCUACAUCAUCGGCUCCUUUGAUCACUGACAGAAGUUCAGAGAUGGGCCUGUGCAU